UACGGAGGAUCCAAGCGUUAUCCGGAAUCAUUGGGUUUAAAGGGUCCGUAGGCGGGCCUGUAAGUCAGUGGUGAAAUCCGGCGGCUUAACCGUCGAACUGCCAUUGAUACUGCAGGCCUUGAAUUUCCGGGAAGUGACUAGAAUAUGUAGUGUAGCGGUGAAAUGCUUAGAGAUUACAUGGAAUACCGAUUGCGAAGGCAGGUCACUACCGGUGGAUUGACGCUGAUGGACGAAAGCGUGGGGAGCGAACAGGAUUAGAUACCCUGGUAGUCCACGCCGUAAACGAUGGAUACUAGCUGUCGGGAGUAAUCUCGGUGGCUAAGCGAAAGUGAUAAGUAUCCCACCUGGGGAGUACGAACGCAAGUUUGAA
rnacentral:rRNA from 1 species